ACAGCAGUCGCCGCGGGAAUACGAAGGUCCCGAGCGUUGUUCGGAAUCACUGGGCGUAAAGGGAGCGUAGGCGGCGUGGUAAGUCAGAUGUGAAAUCCCGGGGCUCAACCCCGGAACUGCAUCCGAUACUGCCAUGCUAGAGGAUUGGAGAGGUAGCUGGAAUUCUUGGUGUAGCAGUGAAAUGCGUGGAGAUCAAGAGGAACACUCGUGGCGAAAGCGAGCUACUGGACAAUAACUGACGCUGAGGCUCGAAGGCCAGGGUAGCGAACGGGAUUAGAUACCCCGGUAGUCCCUGUCUCUUAUAC
rnacentral:rRNA from 1 species